CCUCCAGCAAGGCCUGAGAUGUUUUGCAUAACAAGGACAGGGGAACAAAGGGCUCCUCUGCUCCUGUAUGCCACGUACCUCCGGCACUGUAAUUUCAGCACCAGAGGUACGCGGUCACUUCAAAGGCAGGAGGAUCAAAGCGAUCCUCCGCCUGGAAGCGCCGGUAUGUGCGGACUGGUGCGGUGACGUCAUAUCUCAGCGCCAGCCCACGUGUACUUGCCUGCA